CCCAACUAAAGUAUUAUCAGCUAAAUAAAGAGCACGAAGAGAUGAUAUGUUCCCUAUUGAAGGUGGGAUGGAUCCAUCAAAAUGGUUCCGCGCAACAGAAAACACAUUAAGCUUAGACCAGGAAGAAAAAUCAGUGGGCAGUNGCGAAUGUUCCUUAAUGUUUCACACUCUGCCAAAAAUGUCUUGUUGGCUCCAUGUAUUUCACCGUUUAGUACCUUCACAGCAACUAAGUGUUCCACUGAUUCAAGAUGUCCUUUGUAAACAGAACCAUAUCUUCCUUCACCGAUCAAAUUGUCCGGAGAAAACUCAUUUGUAGCUAGUAGAAGGUCUUGGUAUGAAAGUUUGGGAUAGUGGUCAUCCUUCAAUCCUGAAACAGGCUCAUUCAACUUCUUGUAAUUUAGACGUCGGUAUGAAAUUAAAGCAAGACAUGCUAACAAGACACCAAGGGGUACAAGAACUAAGAUCAGUAUUGUUCUUAAGGCAAAUGUUUUUUUCUUCUUCCUGGAAACUUUGUCUGGACAAGAAGGCAAAUGCAGUGCUUGAACACCUCCACAAAGUUCCCAAUUUCCAACGACUGAAAAAGUGCUAACUUUUGAAAACAGACCUUCCUUUGAAACUUCACCUUCAAGCUUGUUAUGCGACAGAUUGAGGAAUAUAAUUUGAUGAAACCCAUCAAAAAAACUUGGAAUACUCCCAGAGAUGUUAUUGUUGGAAAUAUCUAGAUAUGCAAGAUUUUUCAAAGCUUUGAAAGAGGAUGGAAUUUUACCUUGGAAAAGGUUUCCUCCCAUAUAUAGCUCCUCCAACAUCAAACAUCCUUCAAGAGUGGCGGGUAUAUCUCCUGUUAGUUUGUUAUAUGAAAGAUCUAGUCUAGCCAAAUGUUUCAAGCUUCCAAUGUUGGAUGGAAGUGGACCGGUGACUAAAUUCUGAGACAAAUUAAGGGAAAUACAAUGAGAAAGAAACACAAUUUCUUCGGGUAUUACCCCUCUAAGCAUGUUGUUAGCGAGGAAUAGGUCCUCUAGAGUUGAGAUGUUAAACAAUUUAGUGGGUAUGCUUCCUUGGAGCACAUUACCAUCUAAAUAGAGUUCAACUAAGUUAGUAAUGUUGCUAAAGGAAGUUGGAAUCACUCCUGAAAUGUUGUUUUCACUCAAAUAUAACCCACCUAACUUUGAUAAUCUUCCUAUUGAUUGUGGAAUACUCCCCGUUAAGAAGUUGACUUCAAAAUUAAGAUGUAUCAUGUUGACAAGUUUUCCGAUUUCAUGAGGUAUGCUUCCGUAUAUGUGGUUCCCAUACAGAUACAGGUCUUCCACAGUGGUGGAGAGAUUUGCAAUGGAACUAGGGAGCUCCCCUCUUAAACUAUUCUCGUGUAAGCCCAACGUCCUUAGAUGGGUACAAUUAACCAAGGAAUUGAAAAAGCUCCAUUCAUUAGACUGCAUAUUCUCUCCAAGUGGAUUAUGACCCAGCGCUAGCCAUUCAAUAUUAAGAAGGCUACCCAAAUUUUUUGGUAUAGGCCCAAUUAUGUUGUUAAAUGAUAGGUCAAGGAUGACAAGAUUGGAUGCAUUAGCUAUCGAAGGUGGAAGAGGGCCCGUAAAAGUGUUAUUUCCAGCGGAGAACUGUUGCAGUCUGGGAAGCUGGGUGAAGCCAAAACCUGGUGGAAGCGUUCCUUUAAACCUAUUAUCUUCUAGACCAAGAGAAAGGAGGGACGAAAUGUUGUAAAGUGGUAGGGGAACCAUACCUGACAACCUGUUUCCUGACAAACCAAGAACCUCUAGUUUUGUGAGAUGAGCCACUUCCUGAGGUAUCUCCCCAACUAAAGUAUUAUCAGCUAAAUAAAGAGCACGAAGAGAUGAUAUGUUCCCUAUUGAAGGUGGGAUGGAUCCAUCAAAAUGGUUCCGCGCAACAGAAAACACAUUAAGCUUAGACCAGGAAGAAAAAUCAGUGGGCAGUUUUCCUUCAAGAUCAUUGCUUUCCAAAUUCAUGUAUGUGAUAUCUCUGCAAUGAAGCAGAUUGGCA
rnacentral:lncRNA from 1 species